CACGCUGUAAACGAUGAGUACUAGACUAGGUGGGAUUUGACCCCUGCCGAGUCGGAGCUAACGCAAUAAGUACUCCGCCUGGGAAGUACGGUCGCAAGACUAAAACUCAAAGGAAUUGACGGGGGCCCGCACAAGCGGUGGAUCAUGUGGUUUAAUUCGAAGCAACGCGCAAAACCUUACCUAGGUUUGACAUCCUCUGACAAUCGUAGAAAUACGACUUUUGUAGCAAUACAACAGAGAGACAGGUGC
rnacentral:rRNA from 1 species